AGCUGCGAUCUUACCAUCACUAAUGCACCAGAUCCCAUCAGAACUCCAUAGUUAAGCGUGCUUGGGCGUGAGUAGUACUUGGAUGGGUGACCUCUUGGGAUAUCCUCGUGUUGCACCUC
rfam:Lupinus angustifolius cultivar Tanjil contig_1837, whole genome shotgun sequence.